rnacentral:tRNA from 1 species
CGCGGGGUGGAGCAGCUUGGUAGCUCGUCGGGCUCAUAACCCGAAGGUCGCAGGUUCAAAUCCUGUCCCCGCCA